rnacentral:tRNA from 1 species
GCUGAAUUAGCUUGGUGGGGAGAGUGUUAAACUGAAGAUUUAAAGGUCCUUAGUUCAACUCCAGGCUUAGGCA